rnacentral:rRNA from 1 species
UGGGGAAUAUUGCACAAUGGGGGAAACCCUGAUGCAGCGACGCCGCGUGAGCGAAGAAGGUUUUCGAAUCGUAAAGCUCUGUCCUAUGAGAAGAUAAUGACGGUAUCAUAGGAGGAAGCCCCGGCUAAAUACGUGCCAGCAGCCGCGGUAAUACGUAUGGGGCGAGCGUUGUCCGGAAUUAUUGGGCGUAAAGGGUACGUAGGCGGUCUAUUAAGUCAGGUGUGAAAGCGUGAGGCUUAACCUCAUUAAGCACUUGAAACUGAUAGACUUGAGUGAAGGAGGGGAAAGUGGAAUUCCUAGUGUAGCGGUGAAAUGCGUAGAUAUUAGGAGGAAUACCGGUGGCGAAGGCGACUUUCUGGACUUUUUCUGACGCUCGGGUACGAAAGCGUGGGGAGCAAACAGG